rnacentral:lncRNA from 1 species
UUUUUUAGAUAAAUUUAUUGUCUCUUCCUUCCCUCCCCCUAUCCCCGAGAUACUUGCUAGGAUAUUUGCCCAUGAUUCUAUCAGUUUUUCCCCAUGUUCAUCCUGUAACCAUCUACUCAUCAGAGAAAGAUUCUGUCAGGGAUUUGCGCGGAGGGACUAAUCCCACCUUUGUUGCAUCGGCGCCACAAUGGAAUUGAUGUGGAGUUUGCAUAAAGAUUUUGAAUGCCCCAACCGGCCGCAUAGGAAGCAGAAUAAGAGCUGGUGUUCGUACUAAAAGAUUUCAAAUGUUGAUUCCUCAUUUCUCAGGCUGAGCCUCUUUCUUCUGAACAGAGGCUUUCGAGCAUUAGUGGCCACCUGAACCUACAAAAAACCUCCCAUCCCAGCAAUAGAAAACGAACAUGUGUCAUAGUCCACAAAGCCCCGCAACAUGUUCCAAAACUACCUAGCCAUUGUCUACGAUAUAUAACCUAGUGGGAGUGAGUGAAUUUGUACCCAGAAGAGGCUCAGGUUAAUGGCUACUUUCAUUGGAUGUUCUCCCUCCCUAAGGCAGUGCAAAACCAACAAGUGGUUUUUAAAAGUCCACGGCCCUCUGUUAAGCAUUCUUUCGAAAUCCAUUUUGCAAAUAAAUUUGUAUAAGCAACUGCUAGAACUAAGAUCUAUAAUAUUUACUCC